CAUAGCGACUAUCGUGGCAUAUCAAUAAGCGGAGGAAAAGAAACUAACAAGGAUUCCCUUAGUAACGGCGAGUGAAGCGGGAAGAGCUCAAAUUUGAAAUCUUCAAGGUUUUACCUUGACGAAUUGUAGUUUAAAGAAGUGUUUUCUGUUGAAGUUUUGGUAAAAGUUCUUUGGAAUAGGACAUCAUAGAGGGUGAGAAUCCCGUAUUUGACCAUUAUUUUCAGCUGUGUGAUACACUUUCAAAGAGUCGGAUUGUUUGGGAAUGCAGUCCAAAAUGGGUGGUAAAUUUCAUCUAAAGCUAAAUAUUGGCGAGAGACCGAUAGCGAACAAGUACCGUGAGGGAAAGAUGAAAAGAACUUUGAAAAGAGAGUUAAACAGUACGUGAAAUUGUCAAAAGGGAAGCGUUUGACACCAGUGUUGUUCUUCCGAAAAUCAAUUACGAAUGUUUUAUUUUUGAGGAGUUAUGACUUCAUCGGCUUGCUCCUUUCUUUAUGAAACUUUCUUAAUGCACUUUUCGGUUAACAAGUCAACAUCAAUUUCUUUUGUUGUAAAAGGGUAUGAGGAAGGUGGCUUUCUUUUCGGAGAAAGUGUUUAUAGCCUUGUGCCUCUGCAAUCGGAGAGAUUGAGGUCUGCAGCGUAGAUCCUUCGGGGUUAGAUACGUUUGUGCUAAGUUAUAGCUUUUCAUAGACAACUUGUUGACUAUGUUUAGUCUUGUAGCUUACUCGCUGACGCUAUUUUACCUACGCUUAGGAUGUUGAAGAUAUGCGCGACACG
rnacentral:rRNA from 1 species